rnacentral:rRNA from 1 species
CCUGGUUGAUUCUGCCAGUAGUCAUAUGCUUGUCUCAAAGAUUAAGCCAUGCAUGUCUAAGUAUAAGCAAAUUUAUACCGUGAAACUGCGAAUGGCUCAUUAAAUCAGUUAUCGUUUAUUUGAUAGUACCUUACUACUUGGAUAACCGUGGUAAUUCUAGAGCUAAUACAUGCUAAAAGCCCCGACUUCGGAAGGGGUGUAUUUAUUAGAUUAAAAACCAAUGCCCUUCGGGGCUCUUUGGUGAUUCAUGAUAACUUAACGAAUCGCAUGGCCUUGUGCCGGCGAUGGUUCAUUCAAAUUUCUGCCCUAUCAACUUUCGAUGGUAGUAUAUGGGACUACCAUGGUUUCAACGGGUAACGGGGAAUUAGGGUUCUAUUCCGGAGAGGGAGCCUGAGAAACGGCUACCACAUCCAAGGAAGGCAGCAGGCGCGCAAAUUACCCAAUCCCGACACGGGGAGGUAGUGACAAUAAAUACUGAUGCAGGGCUCUUUUGGGUCUUGUAAUUGGAAUGAGUACAAUCUAAAUCCCUUAACGAGGAACAAUUGGAGGGCAAGUCUGGUGCCAGCAGCCGCGGUAAUACCAGCUCCAAUAGCGUAUAUUAAAGUUGUUGCUUUAUCAUUUCCAACAUAGUAAUUAAUACUUCCAUAGUCCAUAUCAUUUAUAAUGGAAUGAACCUUUUAAAUUCUUCUAUCAUACAAAUAAUAAGGAACGUUCAAACUUUUCUUCUCACAUCUGUACAGUAAGAUUCCACACAUUUCAGGUGAAUAUAACAUUAUUAUUUCAGUAGGUUAUGAGCCCAGUGCAGAUAGAUAAUAUGGGGGGUAUUAGGUGUUAAAAUAUAUCUGGUGAGUAUAAUCUAAUCAUUUUACCAUAGCUAAGAUCUAUUAGCCCCAGUGUUAUCCUACUUACUGCGUCCUCGUCGCGCCCCUGGAAAGCCAAGAGCAACUAUUGCAUUGGUAACUAAAAGUAAGAAAAAAUACUCCAUUAGGUACAGAAAGGUAUCUAAUCUGAGAAAGCUAUGACUAUCGAUUUAGAAAUGACUGCGGCCCCUGAAGGGAAGGAAUUAGUGCAACAACGCGGGAAACGGAAACGCUCUCCGGAAAAAGCAAUUGUU